rnacentral:rRNA from 1 species
AAUAUUGGACAAUGGGGGCAACCCUGAUCCAGCCAUGCCGCGUCUGUGAAGAAGGUCCUCGGAUUGUAAAGCACUUUAAGUUGGGAGGAAGGGCUUUAGGUUAAUACCCUGAAGUUUUGACGUUACCAACAGAAUAAGCACCGGCUAACUCUGUGCCAUCAGCCGAGGUAAUACAGAGGGUGCAAGCGUUAAUCUGAAUUACUGGGCGGAAAGCGCGCGUAGGUGGUUCAGUAAGAUGGGGGUGAAAUCACCGGGCGUAACCUGGGAACUGCUUUCAUAACUGCUGAGCUAGAGUACGGUAGAGGGUAGUGGAAUUUCCUGUGUAGCGGUGAAAUGAGUAGAUAUAGGAAGGAACACCAGUGGCGAAGGCGACUACCUGGACUGAUACUGACACUGAGGUGCGAAAGCGUGGGGAGCAAACA